UUUCGCCGUGGUGGGGUUUGUGCGCGACUUCGUUGGCGACGUAGUCGGUGAGGCGCUCGCCGGCGGGGGCGUCGCCGGUCCAGAG
rnacentral:tRNA from 1 species